AACGGUGCCCACCUUUACUAACAUAAGGUGAGUUAAAAGGGAAACAGGUUAAAAUCCUGUACGAUCUCGUCACUGUAAUAGGGGAGCAAUCCAUCCAAAUGCCAUUUACACAGAGGCGUAGCCACUGGAGAAAUCCGGGAAGGCGAUGGAAAGCGAUGAUCCUUGAGUCAGGAAACCUGCCGUUUGCGAA
rnacentral:ncRNA from 1 species